CAGCCCCUCGAGUGGUGGGGAUGAUGAUUUGGCCUAAAGCGUCCGUAGCCGGCCGGGUAAGUUUCCCGUUAAAUCCAACGUCUCAAGCGUUGGACUGCGGGAAAUACUGCCAGGCUAGAGAGUGGGAGAGGUCAGCGGUAUUCUGGGGGUAGGGGCGAAAUCCUUUGAUCCCCGGAGGACCACCAGUGGCGAAGGCUGCUGACUAGAACACGUCUGACGGUCAGGGACGAAAGCUGGGGUAGCGAUCCGGAUUAGAUACCCGAGUAGUCC
rnacentral:rRNA from 1 species